rnacentral:rRNA from 1 species
UACAGAGGUCCCCAAGCGUUGUUCGGAUUCACUGGGCGUAAAGGGUGCGUAGGUGGUGAGGAAAGUUGGGUGUGAAAUCUCCGAGCUCAACUCGGAAACGGCAUUCAAAACUACUUUGCUAGAGGGUCGGAAGGGAGACUGGAAUUCUCGGUGUAGCGGUGAAAUGCGUAGAUAUCGAGAGGAACACCAGUGGCGAAAGCGAGUCUCUGGACGACACCUGACACUGAGGCACGAAAGCUAGGGGAGCAAACAGGAUUAGAAACCCCAGUA